GAACUACCUCCCACAAUCAUUUGGUCAGAUUUCUUUGAUACUGGGCAGGACUCAUCUGUUAGCUUUCCCCACUAGGCUCCUCAACUUUGAGACUUCUAUGAUCAAAGGUUCUCUAAACAGGUUAGGGUUAGGCUUAUGAUUAGUGUUAGGUCUAGUGUUAGGGUUAGAGUUUGUCUUGUUCAAAUUUCUUUGAUACUGGGCAGGAUACAUUUUUUACCUAGCCUUACUAUGUUCCCCACGUUUUGGCCUUCUUGGUUGAAUUCUUUGCUGACAGGAAUUAUUUGUAUUUUAUGGAUUCACUUCAUCUUGUCCUACAUGGGUAAAUAGACAUGGAGCUGGAAAUCAAACAAGGUUGGUGCUAACUGCUUGAAACUUCACACACUCAAUCAGUUCUCUGUGAGCACUCUCUGGUUUGUUCCUUGUGAAAUUAGUAAUAAGCUGAAGCAUGCAAUGCAAAUUUAUCUGAGAACACUUUAGAAGAAAACAAGGAAAUAUGCAUGUACUGAAAGAGCUCCCCCAAUUAUUUUGUCAGAUUUCUUUGAAACUGCCCAUGAUUCAUCUGUAAGCUUGUCCCACUAGACUCCCCAAUUUCGAAACUUCUAUGAUCAAAUGUUCUCUAAACAGAUUAGGUUUAGGGUUAGACUUAGUAUUAGGACUGGCUUUAGACCUAGUGUUAGAGUUACAGUUAUUUUUAAAAAUUUUCUAUGAUACUGGGCAGGAUUCAACUUUUUCCUAUUUUUGUGAUAGUAGGAGCAAAUGUGACUCCAUUUUGUUUUAUGACUUCAUCCUGUAAAACAACCAUGCCAAGUAGAAGAGUCAUAACUGGGGCAAAAUGUUCUUUUUCUUUUGCUAUAGAAACCUUUACGAACACAAACCUACUUAAUGGGCUAUUGUUUCUGUAACUAG
rnacentral:lncRNA from 1 species